CAAAAAUUGAAUGCCUUGCUUGGUGUCAGCUCUUCGUAGUUUCCUGCACAGAGAGUGCAAGCAAGAGGUUAAGCCACCCCUACCUACCAGAGACACCAGAAAAUAGAGCCCAGCUGAGCACCUGGAAGGAGGCCUGGUCCCCGUGCUGGACACCAAACAUUUAUUAGAUGUGUGCAGAGGACAGACCUGCAGUAAGGUAGAUAAAUGGAGAUGGAGCUUAAAUGUUGGGGUACUUCAUUGCAGCAAGAAUGCCAAGGAUGAAAAGUAUGACCUGAAAACUGGUGAAUCAUUUGAGGAAAUCAGUGGACUGUUCUUAGAAAGCUGAUAAUC